CGCUGCCGCAGCCUCCGCCGCUCCAGCCCCGGCUCGGCAGCGCGUCCCCUCCCCGCCUCGCCGCUCCGCUCGCGGGCUCGCGGGCUCCCUCGCUCUCUCCCUUCCCCCGCCGCUGCCGGCGCCGCGCCGAGCGGAGCCCGGCCGGCCACGGGCUGCCUCUCCCGAGGUCCCUUUCCCGAGGGGGGGAGGUGGUGGGGGCGCGGCGCAGGCGGGGCGGGGAGGAGAGGAGAGUCCGGGGGAGGCGGCAAGGCUGCGCCCUCGGCUCCCCUCCGAUCCCCGCGGGCCCAGCGGCCCCAGGCCGGGCCGGAGAGCGCCGAGCCGCCAGGCAGUGGAGGAAGAGAGGAGGAGGACCCGGAGUCUCGCCGCGGGAGGGUGCCCAGGGCGAGGGCGUGCGAGGGGGAGUGACUCCGCGCGCGAGGGGCAGCAGCACCUGCUUGAGACCAAGCCCGGCGACCUGGCAAGGUGGGGCCCCCUACCGCGCAAUCUUUGCGGCUGGCCCCCGGCUCUCAGCUCCGAGUGCAGAGGCUGAAGAGGUACCCGGGGGACACACUGCCUCUAACCCCACCUAUGAGCCGCUCUCCUCUCGGAGGACGAAGGCACCAUCAGAAGGUCGAGAUUCGCCCUCCUCUCCCGCCACGUCUACCCACUACCUAGACCGGGAGUCUGGACUUGGGAGCGUGAACUCUCACCCGAGCCGGUCCCCUUACAACUGGAGCCCGCCCAGCCCCUCAGUCCCUCCCUGAAGCCCAUGGGUCCCCACUGCUCCGUGCCUCGUCGACCCAGGAUGGGGAGUGGGAAGGUCAGCAUGUGCCCACAGGGCCAGGUGUCCGGCCCAGAUUCCCACCCUCAGGGCGGCGGCGCGCAAAGGGCGCAGUCCCCGCCGCUGGGCGGACCCGCGGCUCCGGCUUUCCCGGUGUCUCCAGCCUCGGUGCCCGGAAUCCUGGAUCUCGGCCUGGCGCUCCGGAAGCGAGGCAGCUCCGUGCCCCAGCAGGGACGGGGAACGCUUGGCUUGAGAGAUCACAUUUCUGGGUGUGGAGAGAAUGUCAAUCACAUAUCCAGAAUAUCACCUCCUUGGGCACAGCCAGGGCAUGGUCCAUUGAAAAUGUUCCUGAUUGCUGGAAGCUGACGGCUCACCAUAAAAGCCAAAAUGGGGACCUGUCAAAAAUGUUUUAGCCAAACUAUGGCUUGGCUCAGGAAGAUGCCAAGACCAAAGGCUGCUGAACUUUAAGUAUAAACUUGCAUGAAAAGCACAUUGCAGGUCUGAGACAGUGGAGGCUUAGUGGUGAGAACAUGAGCUCUGGAUAGACCUGGCUUCAAGUCUUGGCUCUGUCAUUCACCAGCUGUGUGAAUUUGGGCAAACCACUUUUCUUCUCUGAUGCUCAGUUCCCUCACCUAGCAAAAUGGGUUAUAAUGAUGGCAUCAACUCAUAAGGUUCAUGAGGACUGAGCUAGAUAAUGCAAACAACAUGUUUCAUAUACAAUAAUAAAUAAAAAUGUUGGCUGUUAUAAUAUUGUCACUGAGUCUACAUGUAUCUGAAACUAGCUCUUUUAAAUCCUGGGUACAGCUUUACAAGCAGUAUUGUGUAGUUUAGACAGAUCACCUGAGUUCUUUCUAUGUAAUUAUUGUUUCUACUGAACCUUGGUAAAUGUGUGAAAUCACAGAAGUUUGUCCCUAGACACUCCCCUCACCCCACUGGCUCCUCUCUCCAUUCUGUGCAACCCCAUUUCUGCAGCCUUGAGCUUCAGCCCAUUUCUCUCCAUUUCCUCCUCAUUAGCAAGAACUGAUAAAAUUAUUUGAACUGAUAUGUAAGUGACCAUCUCAUCCAGAGAUAUAGUAUUCACAUUUUAGUAGGUCAGAGCCUUAAGCCAAGGCAGUGAAAUAGAGUGGAUGGUACUUCAAGCAUUCAUCAAAGUAAUGGGGAAAGUUUGGGGUCCCAGGAGACUCUUCCCAAUUCCACAGAGUCCUGCCCAUUCAUAAAACUGGUACUAUUGAUGCAUUAUAAGCAACAAGGUGGUCCGUGUUUGAAUUCUGCAGCUGGAAAAUCAAGUCUCCAGCUUUUGCAAAAGUGUUGUAAUAGGGAAACUUGGACACUAAUUUUAUAUACCAACCUCUUCUUGGUAAAGAGACAUAGCUCAUGAGCACCAAGGCCUUUCCAGCAUUGCACAUCUAUGAUACUUAUACUCAAGUGCAUUUUUUUCUUCAGAGCUCAAGGCUAGAGUUGGGUGUUUUUGCCUCACUGGGUUUGUAGGAGACUCAGCUACAAAGUCAUUAAUUGCUUUGGUGAAUCAACAAGUAAAGAAAGACAGUCCAGCUAUUGUCCCCACACUGCAAAAUCAUAAGAGGCUUCUGGACUUCUCCACAAAAUCCUCAUUAAAGAUGAGUCCUCAUGGCUCUUACAGAAUUCUUUAUUAUGUCCUUUGUGCUGAGACUGCAAGGUAAAGAAAGAAAAAAGGGAAAUAACUAAAUUUGUUAUCAUGGAAAAUUUCAAACAUACAAAAGAUGAAAGAAUUGUAUAAUAUACCCCCAUGAACUUGUCAUUUAGCUUUGAAAGUUACCAACUCAUGGCCAAUCAUUUUUCAUCUGUACCCUACUCACACACUCCCCCACCAUAAUUUUGAAACAAAUUCCAAAUAUAAUUUCAUCUGUAAAUAUUUCUGUGAUUGCACCUUUGUUAUGGCCAACAAAAUCCAUCUUUCUAGAAGAGAAGUCAUUCUUCCCUCCCUCCAUGAUGCUAAGAACAUUUGGCCAGUACCUGCAUCCAUGCCCAGGAGUGGUCUCUGGGUUAGGCAAGCUUGAGGGUUUACUGAAUGUUAUCCAAAGUUUGUCCUUUUCCUUGGGUAGAAAAAGGAACCCAUAAAAUGUCUGGUAGAGGUGCCACUGUGUGCAAGCUUUUUUUUUUUUUUUUUUUUUUUUUUGUCAGCAGGGAUGAUGCUCAAUAGCUGUGAUGAGGUCCAAGCUGAGAGAAAAGAGUCAUGAUCAUGAAUCCCAACUGGAUUCAUCAUUUUCCACAUACUUUACUUCAUUUAGCUUUCACCAAUUCUCAUGUUAGUUCCAUUUUACAGAUAAGAAAACUAAGACCUAAGCUCACCCAGCUAGUAGUUACUUGUGGCAGAGACAGACUAGAUGCCAAUCAAAUUCAGUUCCUCUUUUCUGUAGAUACAGUUAGAUUACUUUCCCAGGUUCUCUUGCAGUUAGGUUUGGUCAUCUGACUAAGUUCUAGCCAAAGUAAUAUAGGCCAGUCCCAUGAAAAACAUCUAGGGCAAUUUAGCAUGUUCUUUCUUUCUCCAUCCACUGGCUGAAUGGAAAAAAUUUCAAGGGCUUAGAAGGGGACAGAGCCACAAGAAGGAAGGAACUUGGGUCCCUGGGUGACUAUGUGAAGUAGAGGUCCCUCCCAACUUCCUUUGAACUGUGAAAUACGCAAAAUAAAUAAAUAAAUAAAUUUUUAUUAUGUGAAA
rnacentral:lncRNA from 1 species